AAAUUGAAGAGUUUGAUCAUGGCUCAGAUUGAACGCUGGCGGCAGGCCUAACACAUGCAAGUCGAACGGUAACAGGAAUCAGCUUGCUGAUUUGCUGACGAGUGGCGGACGGGUGAGUAAUGUCUGGGAAACUGCCUGAUGGAGGGGGAUAACUACUGGAAACGGUAGCUAAUACCGCAUAACGUCGCAAGACCAAAGAGGGGGACCUUCGGGCCUC
rnacentral:rRNA from 1 species